UCAUGUUUUCUCAAGCAGCUGUUUGGGGGAAACUAUUAAUGCUAAGUUCCUUGCAUGGAGAUGGAAAUGGAGAGGAAUCGGCCCCAUCCAUCGUCCCUGGGGUAGACUUCCCGUGCCAGGGAGGCAAUCCCAUACUGGGAAAAUCUGCUUCCCUUUGUUCUCAACAUUGAUGAUUCUGACAGUUCCUAUUUUUAUUUCCUUUACCAUUUUUAGGGGGGUGCUCUUUUGGACCUAUCGGUUUCCUUAGGGAGGGAAUCUCUUUAGGAUAUUUACACAUCUUUAUUAUCUGGUCUUUUUAAUCAGGAGGAGGUGACUUGCUGAAGGCAGUCUUGCUGUGAGAACAGGAGGAACAGCUGUUGAAAGAAGAAGAGAGAGAUUGAAACUGGAAGUUUUGGUGAUAAAAUUGGAUUGAGAGAGAGGCCACUGAUGGAUUAAGCAACCUCACAUGGACAGAGUUGGGAUUCAAACCUUAGCAACCCAACUUGUAAGCCCUGCCAUUCACCAUCACACUGCACCGGAAAGAGGAGCACCUGUCGGGAAGAAGCCUACUAAGCAUCCUGGGAAAGUGGUUCGGAUGGCAGUCAUCCCGUCCUGCCUCUAAGUCCAAGGUCAGGAACACGGCAGGGAUGUCCACUAUCACCACUGCUAUUCAACAUAGUACUAGAAGUCCUAGCCACAGCAAUCAGACAACAAAAAGAAAUAAAAGGCAUCCAAAUUGGCAGAGAAGUCAAACUCUCACUCUUUGCAGAUGAUAUGAUACUUUAUGUGGAAAACCCAAAAGACUCCACCCCAAAACUGCUAGAACUUAUACAGGAAUUCAGUCAAGUGGCAGGAUUUAAAAUCAAUGCACAGAAAUCAGUGGCAUUUCUAUACACCAACAACAAGACAGAAGAAAGAGAAAUUAAGGAGUCGAUCCCAUUUACACUUGCACCCAAAACCAUAAGAUACCUAGGAAUAAAUCUAACCAAAGAGGCAAAGAAUCUGUACUCAGAAAACUAUAGAAUACUCAUGAAAGAAAUUGAGGAAGACACAAAGAAAUGGAAAAACGUUCUAUGCUCAUGGAUUGGAAGAACAAAUAUUGUGAAGAUGUCAAUGCUACCUAGAGCAAUCUACACAUUUAAUGCAAUCCCUAUCAAAAUGCCAUCAACUUUUUUUCAAGGAAAUGGAACAAAUAAUCCUAAAAUUUGUAUGGAACCAGAAAAGACCCCAAAUAGCCAGAGGAAUGUUGAAAAAGAAAAGCAAAGCUGGUGGCAUCACAAUUCCGGACUUUAAGCUCUAUUACAAAGCUGUCAUCAUCAAGACAGUAUGGUACUGGCACAAAAACAGACACAUAGAUCCACGGAACAGAAUAGAGAGCCCAGAAAUGGACCCUCAACUCUAUGGUCAACUAAUCUUCAACAAAGCAAGAAAGAAUGUCCAGUGGAAAAAAGUCUCUUCAACAAAUGGUGUUGGGAGAAUUGGACAGCCACAUGCAGAAGAAUGAAACUGGACCAUUUCCUUACACCACACACAAAAAUAGACUCAAAUGUAUGAAAGACCUAAAUGUGAGACAGGAAUCCAUCAAAAUCCUAGAGGAGAACACAGGCAGCAACCUCUUCGACCUCAGCCGCAGCAACUUCUUCCUAGAAACAUCGCCAAAGGCAAGGGAAGCAAGGGCAAAAAUGAACUAUUGGGACUUCAUCAAGAUUAAAAGCUUGUGCACAACAAAGGAAACAGUCAACAAAACCAAAAGACAACCGACAGAAUGGGAGAAGAUAUUUGCAAAUGACAUAUCAGAUAAAGGGCUAGUAUCCAAAAUCUAUAAAGAACUUAUCAAACUCAACACCCAAAGGACAGAUAAUCCAAUGAAGAAAUGGGCAUGUCUAUGAACAGACAUUUCUGCAAAGAAGACAUCCAAAUGGCCAACAGACACAUGAAAAAGUGCUCAACAUCACUCCGCCUCAGGGAAAUACAAAUCAAAACCUCAAUGAGAUACCAGCUCAUACCAGUCAGAAUGGCUAAAAUUAACAAGUCAAGAAAUGACAGAUGUUGGCGAGGAUGUGGAGAAAGGGGAACCCUGGUACACUGUUGGUGGGAAUGCAAGCUGGUGCAGCCACUCUGGAAAACACUUUGGAGGUUCCUCAGAAAGUUGAAAAUAGAGCUACCCUACGACCCAGCAAUUGUACUACUGGGUAUUUACCCCAAAGAUACAAAUAUAGUGAUCCGAAGGGGCACAUGCACCCCAAUGUUUAUAGCAGCAAUGUCCACAAUAGCCAAACUAUGGAAAGAGCCAAGAUGUCUAUCGACAGAUGAAUGGGUAAAGAAGAUGUGGUAUAUAUAUAUAUACACAAUGGAAUAUUACUCAGGCAACAACAAAAAAAUGAAAUCUUUCCAUUUGCAACAAUGUGGAUGGAACUAGAGGGUAUUAUGCUAAGUGAAAUAAGUCAAUCAGAGAAAGACAAGUAUCAUAUAAUCUCACUGAUAUGAGGAAUUUGAGAAGGCAGAGGAUCAUAGGAGAAGAGAGGAAAAAAUGAAACAAGACUAAACCAGAGAGAGAGACAAACCAUAGGAGACUCUUAAUCUCAGGAAACAAACUGAGGGUUGCUGGAGUGGAGCGGGGUGGAAGGGAUGGAGUGGCUGGGUGAUGGACAUUGGGGAGGGUAUAUGUUGUGGUGAGUGCUGUGAAUUGUGUAAAACUGAUGAAUCUCAGACCUGUACCCCUGAAACAAAUAAUACAUUAUAUGUUACUAAUAAAAAAAUACAAAAUGGAAAAAAAAAAACAAAAACAACUAUGUGAGUCCAUUCUACAACCCAAUCCUUUGUGCUAUAAUUAUCACAUGUAUUAUAUCAAUAUAACUUAUGACCCCUAAUAGACAAUAUUAUAUAUUUUUGGUAAGUGCUUAUGAAUUUGAAAUGAAGGGGGAAAGUUUAUAUUUACUCAGCUAUUUACCAUUUUUGAUGUUUUACAAUUCUUACUGUAUACUUGAGUUUUCAUUUGGUAUCAUUUCCUUUCAGCCUGUGGUUUCCUUUAGCUUUUCAGCAUAUCAGCUGACAAUAAAUUCUUAGUUUUAUUUUAUAUGAAAAUGUCUUUGUCUUCAUCCUUGAAAAAUAUUUUCACUGGAUACUGAAUUCAGGAUUAAUAGUUUUUCACUAUCCCACCCCCACCUGUCCUUGAAAAAAAGUCCCACUC